rnacentral:rRNA from 1 species
AACGAACGCUGGCGGCAUGCCUAACACAUGCAAGUCGAACGAAGGCUUCGGCCUUAGUGGCGCACGGGUGCGUAACGCAUGGGAAUCUGCCCCUCGGUUCGGAAUAACAGUUAGAAAUGACUGCUAAUACCGGCUGAUGACUUCGGUCCAAAGAUUUAUCGCCGAGGGAUGAGCCCGCGUAAGAUUAGGUAGUUGGUGGGGUAAAGGCCUACCAAGCCGACGAUCUUUAGCUGGUCUGAGAGGAUGAUCAGCCACACUGGGACUGAGACACGGCCCAGACUCCUACGGGAGGCAGCAGUGGGGAAUAUUGGACAAUGGGCGAAAGCCUGAUCCAGCAAUGCCGCGUGAGUGAUGAAGGCCUUAGGGUUGUAAAGCUCUUUUACCAGGGAUGAUAAUGACAGUACCUGGAGAAUAAGCUCCGGCUAACUCCGUGCCAGCAGCCGCGGUAA